CUCCUCCUCCUCCUCCUCCCGCCGCUCCCGCUAGCCCAGCCGGGCCACGCGGGGGCGGGGGCCAGGGGGCGUCUCCCCGGCCGGCAGGAGCCGCUCGGCCCCCGGGGGGCUGCUCAGCGCCGGGGUGAGCCGGGGAGCUCUGCCCUUGGACCCUGAGCGCGGCCAGGGGAGAGGGAGCGCGGCGCGCGCCAACCGCCACCUUGCGCCCUCACGGUCCCCGGCCCGGCUCUCCGCAGCGCAGCGCAGCGCAACCGCGUGAGGCGGCGAGACGCACUCCAGCCAGCCGCCGGCCGCCGCGCUCGCGCCUCUGCCCGGAGCUCUGCCGACUCGGGGUUGUCCCCGGGGACCGCGCGCGCGACCUCGCGCGCUCCUGCCAAGCGGGCCGGACUGAGCGCGCCCCGGGGCGUCCGCGCGCAUCGCCAGGGCGAAGUGAGUGGGGCUUGGCACCUUCCGGCGUCUGGAGCCCGGCCAGCGCCACUCUCGUCCGAAGGGCCCGACCCGGCGGGGGAAAAGUCCGGAAGCUCCCCCACUUCGGUGGGACGUCUAACCUCCGGUCUUACAUGACCAGGCCCGAGGGCUCUCCACACUGGCAGUUCCGGCUGCUGAUUUCAGGGGUCUCCGGAAGCAGCCAGUGGGACCGCCGUGGUUUCUCUUCUUUUUUCCCGCUACGAUCCCGGGAGCGCAAAGACAAAACCAUGUAUAUGUUGUAUUCUUGUUAUGUAUUGGCGAGAUCUCAGUAGAAAUGUAAAGGAUGAAAAGGAGAGAGUUCGCUGACAUCGCGCCGCCACCAUCACUGCCUGUGUAGUUCCGUUCGCUGUCCCGGCGCCCGUGUGCGCCAGUUCACCUGCACACGCCCGCUCACAGCUGAGGCCGCGGGCAUCUGCGCUGAGGAGCCACGCUCAAGGUGCAGCUUAAUGUCCUGGCCCGCGAGUUGGAGGUCUGGGGAGGCACCCGGUGCCACAGAAACAUCUACAAGCUGGGCAGAGCUCGUGGAGAGUGGUUAUCCAGAAGAUCCUUACCGUGCGUUGGGCGCACUAGCUUUCCAAAUCCUGACAUUGGCCGCCCGGAGGAAGCAAAGAAAAAGCAUCCCUUGGGUGCCUUGGAAGCCAGAGCGAAGGCCAGAGUGUCCCGUGGCCUGGAAAGAAGUUUGCUGGGGGUCUCAAAGCCCACGCGUCCUCCUCCCACAGCCACGUGAAGGAACAUUCUGGGGAUGCGUUCUCUGGAACGUGGCAACUAACGGAAUUCCCUGAAAAAUGGUUUCUUCUCUCCCCAGACUGAAGAAUGACAGAGAUCCCCAGCUGGGGUUGCAGCCAUUUAAGAAACUGUAGCACUCUUGCUUUUGUGCCCUCCCCAGCCCCACCCCGCCAGGGAGCGCUUCACCGUUACCAAAGUGAGAAAAAAGGCUGGAUUAAAAAACUGAGGCUCAAAGAAGUUCAGCCACCUGACCAGCUAUUAAGUGGUGUUGCUGUAGAUCGAACCCCAGUCUUCAUCACCCCUGGGAUCGGACUUUUAACUACUCUGUAUGGCGGCAUGGUGCAUCUUGGUAUUAUGGGCUUUUGAGACCAGAAGUUUCUCUGCUAAAUCCUGGCUGGAUAUCUCUGAUAUCUGUCUCCAAUCUCUCUCUCUUUCAUCUCCCAUCUCUCCACAUGACCUGGAUUCUCUUUUCCAUCCCCCUGAGGUGAGCUUUCUCCAUAUGCUGACCCUUUUCUCAGAGCUAUAGCAUGAUCUUUUACUUGAACUCCUUGGAAUCCCUGGAUAUGCUUCCAAACAAUCAUAAAAUAAAAUCCUGUGCUGGCUUCA